GCGGAUGUAUCUCAGUGGUAGAGUGCUUGCCUUGCAUGCAUGAGGCCCUAGGUUCGAUCCUCAGCACCACA
rnacentral:tRNA from 1 species